CCUCUAGUUCCCAUUCUUGACCUGAAUCCCUUUUCUAGUUGGGAAUUUCUUGCUUCUCUUUUUAUUUUUUUUUCACCUGAUCAAGUUACAAGAAUUAGAUGAUAUAUAUAGAUACACAUACAUACAUACAUAUAUAUAUUAGAUAUAAUUCGCCUAUAUUUCAGCUAGAAGAUAACUUUUGGAGAAAAACAAUUUUUUUUCUGCUUAGUUGUGAGAAAAUGCCAGCAACAUAAAUUUCAGACCUCACAAAUAAGAACCAAUUUUUCUUUCAAUAGAAAUGAGCGGAGUGUUCGAGUAGAGAAUUGUCACUAUCAAUACUUGCCCAAAAGACUGAAUGGUCAUUAUCUAUUCCCAAGUUGUGAUAGAUAUGAAACAAGCAAUACCAUAAUGUUUUGCUUUCCUCCCUCUCACAGGGAAGGAGCAAGGGGCUUUGAGGGAGCCUUCUGAGAGGAGGAAGACCAUACUUAAUGCUAAUAACACGGGGAAGACGGAGACUGGGGAUUGCAGUACAGAGUUUUGAGUUUCCAAAAAAUUUUUGAUAAUGAUCCUGUUCUAGGGAUUUGAUGAGCGACAAACAUAAAAAUUUUAAAGUGAUCCAGAAACCUUUAAAACGAGAUCUAUCAUAUGACAAAUGCUCAUAAAUAGCAUGAGGAUUAGAUAAAAGAGGUUACUGACUUCCUCAAGGUGCCCAGAAAAUAACUGACAGCAUCCCAAGAACACAGUCCUUACUGUCCAGUACAAGCUCCUCUUCACUGUCCCAAGCCACACAUGUACUCUGAGCACACGUGUUAAUGAGACUCGUAUUGUGUAGUAAUUCUACUCUGAAGUUUGUUGCUUUGGCCUAUGGAUAGAUUGAGAACCUUCGAAGCAAUUAGCACCAAUGAUUGUUAGAAUGAGAGGAGCAAGGUUAGUGAUCUGCUCUAAAGAAGCAAGUGGCACCAUGCUGUGUGAGCUGACCAUUAGUCAGCAUCACUUUAACCCAGGAAAGCCUGCUGCUGAAGUGGCCUAAGGUGAUGAAUCACAAGGAGCAUCUUGCUCUUGACUUGGCUGCCAUUAAAGUGAUGCCAAGCACCACAUAACCAACUGAAAGGCGUCAAGGGGUUGGCAAGCCACUUGCACAACAGAGUUUGAUGUUAAGCAUCUGGGAGUUUCCAGCAUAUGAAGGAUACAUGGGGGUUCCGAAAUUACCUACAUCACUGAGCACUGUACAGCUGUCACUUAAUAUUUAAACUGGAUGAGAAAUCACAAAAACUCUGGUUUCUCAAAAGCAGAACUACAAGCUGUCAAAGUUGUUGGGUCCUUGGAGGCUAUCCCAACUUAAUUACUUAUUUCACAAAUGGAGAAACGUGCCAUUAUUCAUGUGGGCAGAAGAAAGAAUACGGAGCUAGAAUCCUUCCUGGGUAUCUUGUUUUAGGGGAUUAUAGACAUAGACUCUUAAGGAACACCAUCUGUGCAAGAGGCACAGCGCACUGACUAAAUGCAUGCUGAGAGUCUCCUGGUUAAAUCCACCCUCUUCCUGUUUCACUUCACAUGCAGAUGCUGGAAAGGGUAGGGACCUAAUGAGAGGCAGCAGUCAGCCCCUCCCAGCUGUUCUUGCUCUAACCACAUCCUGGUCAGGUGCCAUUAUUCCCUGGCUCCCCUGACUUAUUCUUCACACUGUCCUCACUGAUGAUGGCUUUCCUAAAGCACUGUUGCCCUUCCAAAAACACUCCAACAAGGCAAUUUAUAGCUGACCUAUGUUUUUCUAAUAAUGUUUUCUCUCCUCUCUUCAUCCUGGAAAUCCACGUGUCUCAGUUGCUCUCAAUCACUGCCACGAGUCUGGUGAUGCGCUAAGCUCGGGGCAGGAUCUCAAGGGCUUUGAGGAUGUCUGCAUCAUCUGUAUUGACCUGCUCCCCAGAUUAAUACCGAAGCACUGCAAUUUCUUGAGGAUUAUCCACCUAGGAGGAAAUGAUACGCUGGCCCAUCCAUAGUAGUCAAGAAACAGUCUGAGAUCCAAAAAGUGGCUUAAAAGAGGGAAAAGUUAAUCAAAAUGUCUGUGAAGCUCUGGCUUCAGUCUCUCCAGCGAGGCUUUCUGAAGCACAGCUCUGAUAGAACUAAACCCAAUGAGACACCGCCUACAAGAGGAAUCCAGCGUGUGAACGAAGACUAAAAAGCAAAACAGCAGCGUCUGGAGUGGACAGCUUCUCUCACUCAGAGAACUGUAGCCUCAAAUUCCUGGCAGAGGUUUCUUGGAAGAGAAGAAUGAGAUUGGAUCUGAGAAAAUGUGGCUGGGAACCACCAUCUCAGAUGGUAGAAACCACUCAGAAGGAUCAACUGCUGCAGACGGGAAGAGGAGCAACCUCGUGAAUAAUUUCGUGACAGGAUAUUGCAGGAGGGACUUUGUCCAAAUGUGUGCAGGGUAGUUGGCUACAGCAACAAGGAUGACGAACACAGAUGAAUUGAUCAGGAUGUAACCAUUCAAAGUUGAGAGGAUUAGAGGACUUCUCCGAGGCGGCUCCAAUGGAUGCCAGCAGAGUUAAAGUGUCCAAUGGAGAGAAGAGAAGGCUUGGGAAAUCCAGAGUCCAUUCAUUCAUCGCCCUCCUCCUAGAACAACAAAAGCGAGCCCCAGUACUCAUCAGCAUGGACUCUGUGUGUAGUCAUCUCCCUUAGUUUCAGAGGUUCCUGCCUACAGCAAAACUUUAGAGGCUUAGAGUUUAACGGUCAUAGCUUAUUCACCUCCAACUGUGUCCUAGUUCAAGAGAAACACUUCACAUAUCUGUAGGGAGAAGAUAAUGAACCAAGGAUACAAGUUAAGCCUUAGCUAAGACCUGUUACUCAGGAAAAAGAGCUAAAACAAGCUGCUUAGAUCAGCACCAAUGUUAGGUAGAGAGAAAAAGAAACGCUGCAUAGAAAUCUUAAGGUUCACAUGUGCUCCAGGCUGGGUCAACAACUUCUAAUUUCCUUUGCCAACCAACCAUGUCUUUGACAGAAAUGAUCCUUCUACAUAGACCACAGAGGGAUCCAAUGGAGGUUUCUCUUCCUGAAUUUGGGGAUUCAGAAUCUGGACAAAUUCCUUUCCAUCAAAGUCCAGUACAAAAGUAGUACCAUGGCAGUCCCUGCAGGGACUUGCAUCACUUUCCCUAGAGAUAUCAAGAGAAUUUUUAGUGAUAAGAAUAUGGCACAAAAUGAGAAAUCCCAUUACUCUUAAGAGAAUCUCUUCCUUCUCAAAGGCACCUGAUUAAUACAUAUAGUACUAUCAGUAAGGCUGAGCAAAAGGAUACUGAUGUUCUGAGUGAUCUUAAAUCAUGUAAUAAUAACUUUAUUCGUAGUAUAGAACGGAAUAUUCCCUAUUAGUAAUCAGUUCCUUUGCCAGAUCCUCAUAGUAUCUUAGUCACUGUUUUAUUGUUAUGAAGAGAAACUUUGACCACAGCACCUCUUAGAAAAAAGGAAGCAUUUAAUCGGGACUUCCUUAUGGUUUCACAGUUUUACAUAAUUGUCAACAUGGCAGAGAACAUGGGGGCACGCAAACAGACAUGGUGCUGGAGAAGUAGCGGAGAAUAUACAGCAACAUAUAGAUACAAAAUAUAGAUACAUAUAGAUACAGAAUAUAGAUACAUAUAGCUACAUAUAGAUCUGCAGGCAGCAGGAAGAGACUGGGACAAGGCCAUACCUUCUAAGGCUUCUCAAGGAGUGUCACUUCCUGAUGACCAAGCAUUCAAGUGUAUGAGCUUAUGGGAGCCAUUCUUAUUCAAGCCACCACACAUAGCAAAGCUGAUAAUGUCAUUUUCUGAAUUAACCAGGCCAAGGCACACUUCUUAGCAACAUGGUUACCUGGUAACCAGAGAUUUUUCUCAUCCCAUGAGAGAUUUCAUUCAAGAACUGAUCUUCUAACAGUUUUGUCUCUCUUAAGAAUGCUACAGACAGGGUGGGGUGAGGCACAGUGCUGAAGCCCCUCAAGUUUCCCAGAGGGAUGAGUCCAUGAAAGACGAAAAUCAUGUGGUCACACUGAGCAUAGACUUCACAAGCAUCAUGCUAGGAUUCCAUUUUCUUUCUCAACACAAUGAUAAAUUCUUCUUCCAAUAAGCAGAAAAUCAUCCAAUGGGAAAAAAAAAUAAAACCAACUAACUUGCAGUCCUUUGGAACAGUUUCAUAGCUUACAGGAUGGCUUCAUAACCCUGGGGACACUCGUUUUGACAUGAAAACUUCCUUCAGAACAGGAAUUCUGAUCCAACAUGUGCUCAGACAUCAUUUCAGUCACUUGCAAAUGAACAAGAAAGCUCAUGUAAAUGAGGAGGCUCAACUCCCAGGCCUGGUGAGUGGGUAAGACAUUCCUCUGCUGGGUUUUGAAGGCUGUCUGAAACCAUCGGCUGACAUCCUUCUCUGUGUGCAUGUAUGCACUAUCUACGGGAAAUUCAGCUCCAACCGGUUGUCUCUACAGCUCCCUUAAUCUUCUCCUCCCUCCUCCUGGCAUUGGCAUGUGUCCCAGGACUGCAGCGAGGAGUGCUUACCAACAAAGGUGCUGGCAUCUGCAUUUGUUUCACAGCCACAAACCUAAUGGUUCCAUGAUUUUGGCGAGCAAAACUGUCAAAAUGCCUGAGCACAAGAGAUCACAAGAUGAGCCAAGGCAUAGUGUGCAUGCCUUCCUUCCCAGCACUCGGAAGGCAGAGGCAAGGGGAUCUCUGUGGGUUCAAGGCCAGCCUGAAUCACAAGGUGUACUGGGGAUUCUUUUUUAUUGUUUUCCUUUUGCUAUCUGGAAUAGUUUGAGAUUGUAUUUGAUCAGUGCAUUAAACAAC
rnacentral:lncRNA from 1 species